AUACGCCACUGCAGUCCCUCAUGUUGAUUUUCUCAUGUGUGUCGAAAAAAAAAAACUCGAAUAAACCGCAUCGUACGACAGAUGCGAGUAACGAAAUGAAUUUGUGAGUACCGAAUCGGUACUUCGAGUAAACCGAUGUACCCGUUACUCGGUAACGAAUAGAUACGGUUUGCUCCAGCUGUAAUGUCUAGGCGCUUAACCUCCUUGGCUUGUCUCUUUGUUAAGCUUGGCUUGCUUGCGUUGCUUUUGCUUUGCGCUCCUGCACUUGUGCGAUGCUACUUGGGAAAGUAAAAGUGCGUGUGGAGUGAGAGACUAACAGUUAUUUUUAAGGCUGGAAUCCUGAAAGACACUCCACAAAUCAAGACAUUACUGAGCUCCACCUUCGAAUUUUGCCGAUUUAUAAAUUACAAGCCGAGAGGCAAUUCAUUAUUUUCCAUUCUACACCGUGUAAGUAGGUCGACACUAUUUCCGUAUUAUCCAUCAUUUCUGCCAGAGAAUAUCAACUAAGAUUCAUUAAACAUUUCUAAGUGAUUAUGGGCCUGAUGAAGAGUCAAGUUCUGUUCCCUGUAAUAAGGUGCUUUGUUUAUUUAGAAUGGAAUCUGUUCUCCUGCAGUACACAGAAAUUGCACUCCUAGUGAAUAUGGAAAUUAUUUGGAUAAAAGUAAUUUAAAUAUUCAUACCUGUUUGCAUAUGGAAAUACAAUGUGUCGAUUAGUUUAAAUUUGAAAUUAUUAAGCAUGUAAAUACUAGUAGAAUUGAAAUCCCACAUAAUGUAGCAUGUACAAGUCAUUGCUUAAUAAAUAAUAUAAGAAGUUAAUCUUUGAUGAAGUGUUUCUUGGAGGAGAUGGUAUGCGUAACAUCACAUAAAAGAUGAACUGCAUUGCUAUUUUCAGAAAGAUACCACAUAUGUAUUUGCACAGGAUAGAAAAAGAUAUUGUGAAGCAUCUUAGAAUUAAUAUCCUUAAAGUUAACUCCCAUUUGUAUCCAUGUUCAAUAUGAACUGCAUCAAGAGGUGUGUAAGAAGAUGUAUGAAAUAAGCAUGUAUGUACCUGUGCAGCAAAGAACUUCGUGUGAGGCAAACCUAUGUUUAUGCUGGCAGAAAUCUCAUAGGUAACAAUCUAUUUUAGGCAAAAUGUUAUAAAGCUGCAUAUACUCAUUUACAGAGCACAGAAACCUGGUCAUUGUGUAGUAUGUAAUGAGUAAUUCGGUAGUGAGAUAAAGAUACGCAUGCUUUCCCACAUGGAAGAGAGAUUUAUGCAAUGUGUUGCAUGGCUUUUAGGAAAAAAGGUAUAUGAAGAAUCAUGUGUAUUUUCAUACUAAAAAGAAACCGUAAGAUAGUAAAUGGUGAGAUUACUGAUGGUCAGCAUCCGAGGUCCAACUAGCCAAAAAAACAUUGUGAAAUCCUGUUACCAUAUUUUAACGUCUGAAUGAAAAUUGGUAUAAGUCAUUUCAACUAAAGUUUGUGUAAAAGAAGCUUUUCUGGAUAAAUAAUAAAAAUAUUGGUUUUGAAAGGAAGAGCUUAGAGAAAAA